rnacentral:lncRNA from 1 species
GCCUUUUUGUUGCAUGUUGCAUUUGUGUGCAUGAAGACUUUAAUUUGGCACUUGAGGCUUAUACUGAGAGCAAAAUCAGCACUGAAUUAACACCGUUAAAACCGGCCUGAUCAGUACGGAGUAGGCCUGAUCAGUACGGAGUAGCAUGACAGCGUCAGUCUUUAAGGCCGCCGAUGCAACCUGCUCAGCGACCAAAGAGCAGCAGCCAUGCGGCGGCGGCGGCGGCGCCAAGAAACGCGAGCAAACGCGGCGAAGCGGCGUUGUCC